GACGAACGCUGGCGGCGUGCUUAACACAUGCAAGUCGAACGGAAAGGCCCUGCUUGCAGGGUGCUCGAGUGGCGAACGGGUGAGUAACACGUGGGUGAUCUGCCCCUUACUUUGGGAUAAGCCUGGGAAACUGGGUCUAAUACUGGAUAGGACCAUGCUGUAGGUGGUGUGGUGGAAAGAUUAGUUUCGGUAAGGGAUGAGCUCGCGGCCUAUCAGCUUGUUGGUGGGGUAAUGGCCUACCAAGGCGUCGACGGGUAGCCGGCCUGAGAGGGUGGACGGCCACAUUGGGACUGAGAUACGGCCCAGACUCCUACGGGAGGCAGCAGUGGGGAAUAUUGCACAAUGGGCGCAAGCCUGAUGCAGCGACGCCGCGUGGGGGAUGACGGCCUUCGGGUUGUAAACUCCUUUCAGCCAUGGCGAAGCCCUUGUGGUGACGGUAGUGGUAGAAGAAGCACCGGCUAACUACGU
rnacentral:rRNA from 1 species